rnacentral:rRNA from 1 species
UAGUCCACGCCGUAAACGAUGUUGACUAGAAGCUUGGGCAAAAGUCUGGGUUUCGCAGCUAACGCACUAAGUCAACCGCCUGGGGAGUACGGCCGCAAGGUUAAAACUCAAAUGAAUUGACGGGGGCCCGCACAAGCGGUGGAGCAUGUGGUUUAAUUCGACGCAACGCGAAGAACCUUACCUGGUCUUGACAUCGCGAGAACUACUUGUAAUGAGUAGGUGCCUUCGGGAACUCGCAGAC